rnacentral:rRNA from 1 species
GUGAAGUUGCUUUAACCUAGCGGCGGACGGGUGAGUAACGCGUGGGUAACCUACCCUAAAGUUCGGGAUAACAGCGGGAAACCGCUGCUAAUACCGGAUGUCUUUACCUUGGGGCAUCUUGAGGUAAAGAAAGGCAACGCUUUGGGAUGGGCCCGCGUCCCAUUAGCUAGUUGGUGAGGUAACAGCUCACCAAGGCGACGAUGGGUAGCCGGCCUGAGAGGGUGGACGGCCACACUGGGACUGAGACACGGCCCAGACUCCUACGGGAGGCAGCAGUAGGGAAUAUUGCGCAAUGGACGGAAGUCUGACGCAGCGACGCCGCGUGAGCGAUGAAGGUCUUCGGAUCGUAAAGCUCUGUCCUUGGGGAAGAAGGCGAAAGCUUGACGGUACCCAAGAAGAAAGCCCCGGCUAACUACGUGCCAGCAGCCGCGGUAAUACGUAGGGGGCGAGCGUUGUCCGGAAUUACUGGGCGUAAAGGGUGCGUAGGCGGCCCUUUAAGUCGGAUGUGAAAGCCCGCGGCUUAACCGCGGAAUGGCAUUCGAAACUGGAGGGCUUGAGUGUCGGAGAGGGUAGUGGAAUUCCCAGUGUAGCGGUAAAAUGCGUAGAUAUAUGGAGGAACACCAGUGGCGAAGGCGGCUACCUGGUCUGUAACUGACGAUGAGGCACGAAAGCGUGGGGAGCAAAUAGGAUUAGAUACCCUAGUAGUCCACGCUGUAAACGAUGAAUACUAAGUGUUGGGGAAACUCAGUGCUGCAGUUAACGCAAUAAGUAUUCCGCCUGGGGAGUAUGCACGCAAGUGUGAAACUCAAAGGAAUUGACGGGGGCCCGCACAAGCGGUGG